AAAAAUAAGAUCGGUAUUUUCUCRUUCAGCUACAUCAUGAAUUAGUCAAAUGAGAAAAGAGCUGUUGCUCUCAUCAGUACGCUUCUACACUGGAAGAACUGAUGGACUGAAGGAAUGGACAGCCAGCUUUCCUGUUCAGUGCCUACCACUGGAAUUAAGGAAUGCCUGAAAAGAUGGAGUAGUUUUC